rnacentral:misc_RNA from 1 species
CAUGGGUGAAAACGAGUCUUGCACCGGGCUCUGGAGUUGUGACAAAAUACUUGCUGAAGAGUGGACUGCAGCCAUAUCUAAACCAGCAGGGCUUCCAUAUAGUUGGCUAUGGUUGUACAACAUGUAUUGGGAAUUCUGGGGAUUUGGAUGAAUCAGUAUCUGCUGCUAUUUCUGAGAACGAUAUUGUUGCAGCUGCUGUGCUCUCUGGGAACCGAAAUUUUGAGGGUCGUGUCCAUCCACUGACCAGAGCAAACUACCUUGCUUCACCUCCCUUGGUUGUAGCUUAUGCCUUAGCUGGCACGGUUGAUAUCGACUUUGAGAAGGAUCCAAUUGGAAAAGGGAAGGAUGGAAAGGAUGUCUAUUUCAGAGAUAUCUGGCCUUCUACCGAAGAAAUAGCCGAGGUUGUUCAAUCUAGUGUAUUGCCCGACAUGUUCAGAAGUACUUAUGAAUCAAUUACAAAAGGAAACCCGAUGUGGAACCAACUUUCAGUACCUGAAGGCACCCUGUACUCAUGGGACCCCAAUUCCACCUAUAUUCAUGAACCACCCUACUUCAAGAAUAUGACCAUGGACCCUCCAGGACCACAUGGCGUUAAGGAUGCUUACUGCCUAUUGAACUUUGGAGAUAGUAUCACUACAGAUCACAUUUCCCCUGCAGGAAGCAUCCACAAGGACAGCCCAGCGGCGAAAUACCUUCUUGAGCGUGGAGUGGAUCGCAAGGAUUUCAAUUCAUAUGGAAGUAGGCGUGGCAAUGAUGAGGUGAUGGCAAGGGGUACUUUUGCCAACAUCCGCCUUGUUAACAAGCUUUUAAAUGGCGAAGUGGGCCCCAAGACCGUUCAUGUUCCCACCGGAGAGAAACUUUACGUCUUUGAAGCAGCACAAAGAUACAAGUCAGCUGGUCAAGACACCAUUGUGCUGGCUGGGGCUGAGUAUGGAAGUGGAAGCUCUCGGGAUUGGG